AGCAGCCGCGGUAAUUCCAGCUCCAAUAGCGUAUACUAAAGUUGUUGCAGUUAAAAAGCUCGUAGUUGAAUUUCGGGAUCAAUAUGUUGGUCGUGCCUUGGUACGUACUAUCUUAUUGAUUUCUCCCUUCUGACGAACCAUGAUGUCAUUAAUUUGAUGUCAUGGGGAAUCAGGACUGUUACUUUGAAAAAUUAGAGUGUUUAAAGCAGGCUCACGCUUGAAUAUAUUAGCAUGGAAUAAUGAAAUAGGACGUUUGAUUCUAUUUUGUUGGUUUCUAGGAUCGACGUAAUGAUUAAUAGGGAUAGUUGGGGGCAUUAGUAUUCAAUUGUCAGAGGUGAAAUUCUUGGAUUUAUUGAAGACUAACUACUGCGAAAGCAUUUGCCAAGGAUGUUUUCAUUAAUCAAGAACGAAAGUUAGGGGAUCGAAGACGAUCAGAUACCGUCGUAGUCU
rnacentral:rRNA from 1 species